rnacentral:rRNA from 1 species
GACGAACGCUGGCGGCGUGCUUAACACAUGCAAGUCGAACGGAAAGGCCCUGCUUUUGUGGGGUGCUCGAGUGGCGAACGGGUGAGUAACACGUGAGUAACCUGCCCUUGACUUUGGGAUAACUUCAGGAAACUGGGGCUAAUACCGGAUAGGAGCUCCUGCUGCAUGGUGGGGGUUGGAAAGUUUCGGCGGUUGGGGAUGGACUCGCGGCUUAUCAGCUUGUUGGUGGGGUAGUGGCUUACCAAGGCUUUGACGGGUAGCCGGCCUGAGAAGGUGACCGGCCACAUUGGGACUGAGAUACGGCCCAGACUCCUACGGGAGGCAGCAGUGGAGAAUAGUGCCCAAUGGGCGGGAGCCUGAUGCAGAAACGCCGCGUGCGGGAUGACGGCCUUCGGGUUGUAAACCGCUUUCGCCUGUGACGAAGCGUGAGUGACGGUAAUGGGUAAAGAAGCACGGGCUAACUACGUG